rnacentral:rRNA from 1 species
UGCGUAGGCGGAUUGUUAAGUCAGUGGUGAAAGUCUGCGGCUCAACGGGAGAAAUGCCAUUGAUACUGGCGUGCUUGAGUACGGACGAGGUAGGCGGAAUUUAUGGUGUAGCGGUGAAAUGCAUAGAUACCAUAAAGAACACCGAUAGCGUAGGCAGCUUACUAGAUCGUAACUGACGCUGAGGCACGAAAGCGUGGGGAGCGAACAGGAUUAGAUACCCUGGUAGUCC